CCGGGGAUCUUUUGGAACUGCAGAACCUGAACCAGGUCAGAACUGGAAAGUAGCAGCCUUAAGGAAUUUCUGUUGUGCUAGAAAUUAAUCUCCGGCUU
rnacentral:SRP_RNA from 1 species